AUUGAACGCUGGCGGCAGGCCUAACACAUGCAAGUCGAACGAGUGGCGGACGGGUGAGUAAUGUCUGGGAAACUGCCUGAUGGAGGGGGAUAACUACUGGAAACGGUAGCUCAUACCGCAUACCAUCGGAUGUGCCCAGAUGGGAUUAGCUCGUAGGUGGGGUAACGGCUCACCUAGGCGACGAUCCCUCUCUGGUCUGAGAGGAGGACCAGCCACACGUGAACUGAGACACGGCCCAGACUCCUACGGGAGGCAGCAGUGGGGAAUAUUGCACAAUGGUCGCAAGCCUGAUGCAGCCAUGCCGCGUGUAUGAAGAAGGCCUUCGGGUUGUAAAGUACUGUAAGCGGGGAUGCGUUACCCGCAGAAGAAGCACCGGCUAACUCCGUGCCAGCAGCCGCGGUAAUUC
rnacentral:rRNA from 1 species